rnacentral:misc_RNA from 1 species
UAAAAAAAGCUGUGCAGAUAUUUUUAGAGGUGGAGAGUCUGGGAAACCUAAACAAGAAUAGUAGUUGAUAUGGUAGAGAAGAGAAUAUAUUUUUUUUUCAACCAAUAGAGAAAUAGAUAGAUAGAAAAAAGGCUAAUUGGAAUAUCCUUGUUUAUGAUUAUAUUUCAAUAAAAUUGUAAAGAAAUAAUCCAAAAGAAGAAGAAUCAUGAAUGGGGCUGCUUCUAAACUUGAAAAACCUAUGGCCACGACGUUUUGAUAGCACCAUUUGUGGAU